GUGCUCACUUUGGCAGAACAUAUACUAAAUUUGGAAUGAUACAGAGAAGAUUAGCAUGGCCCCUGGGCAAGGAUGACAAGCAGAUUCAUGAAGCUUUUAAAAAAAUC